rnacentral:lncRNA from 1 species
AGUAAAUAUAGCCAUAGGCAACAGUAUAAGCAUUGACUGUGCUGAUAUUGUGGAUUGGAAGUUUUCCCAAUCCAUAGUCUAACAUGCUAAUGCUACUUUGUAGAAAUCCAAUUCUUUUCGCAUUUACUUUGAAAUCCGUUUCUUAUAUCUCAUCAGAAAGUGUUCUUCUGUUUGCGUUUGGACCAGCUGGAGAAUGGCAGUCAUCCAGAUAUGCUGGAAGUGAACUGACCACAGGGGUGAAGGAAACAGAAGAGAAUACCCAAAACAACCAAGAAAAAGGGGCCGUGUUUCAAGGAGACGGACAGAGGAUAAACUCCAGUAAAGAAGGAACAGAAGCCUAAACAUCACAGAGAUAGCAAAGCAGCAUGGAGAGAGGGACAAAGUACGCUGUAGCUCACACCCAGGCUCCCGGAUGGAGUGGAUGCCAGGAAAAGGUAAGGGAGCUCAGCACUGCUGCAAUGCUAGCUCCAGGAGACUUCACCCCUCAGGACCUUGGCCCUAAGCUGCUGGCACAGAACAAACACUGAUAGAUUCCAUUUAUUGUAUAUGGGCCAGUAGACAGCCACAGUCACUGCCGGGAGCCUCUGGAACCUCUGUCUAAACAAGGCAGAGGACAAGCCCCUAUCUAUCCCACAGCUGUUGGAUUCCUGUGUGCAAUCUCUGGAGUCACACUUGCUUGCUUUGUGUUGUCUGGGAAAGUCCCCUGCACAUCUUAGGGUUUAGCAGCCGCCACAGCUGGUGCACAGACCUGAGCCAGACCAGAGGAAUCCCCUCUGCCUCUUGUGGCUGAUGGUGCUUCAUGGCCAGGACUUUCUCUGCAUCUGUUGAGAUAAUCAUAUGGUUUUCAUCCUUCACUCUGUUUAUUUAUUAAUGUAUGCUGAACCAUCCCUGCAUCCCUGGGAUAAAUAGCACUUGAUCUGAGUGGAUGAUCUUUUUGAUGUGUUGUUGGAUUCUACUUGCAAGUAUUUUGUUUAGGAUUUUUGCAUGUAGGUUCACCAGGGAUAUUGGUCUGUGGUUCUCUUUUUCUGUUCUUGUAUUUUUGUCUGGUUAUGGAAUUAAGAUAAUGCUGGCCUCAUAGAAUGAGUUUGGAA